rnacentral:rRNA from 1 species
UCUUGAUUUAGCGGCGGACGGGUGAGUAAUGCCUAGGAAUCUGCCUUGGUAGUGGGGGAUAACGUUCCGAAAGGAACGCUAAUACCGCAUACGUCCUACGGGAGAAAGCAGGGGACCUUCGGGCCUUGCGCUAUCAGAUGAGCCUAGGUCGGAUUAGCUAGUUGGUGAGGUAAUGGCUCACCAAGGCGACGAUCCGUAACUGGUCUGAGAGGAUGAUCAGUCACACUGGAACUGAGACACGGUCCAGACUCCUACGGGAGGCAGCAGUGGGGAAUAUUGGACAAUGGGCGAAAGCCUGAUCCAGCCAUGCCGCGUGUGUGAAGAAGGUCUUCGGAUUGUAAAGCACUUUAAGUUGGGAGGAAGGGCAGU